GAGGAAUUUCACCAGGGUUGUUUCAGUGAAUUAUUUGUAGUACUUUAAAAUAAGUAUUGUUUCCUAAAAAUGAUAAACAGGAAGAAAAAUGUGUUACUUA